rnacentral:rRNA from 1 species
UGGGGAAUUUUGGACAAUGGGCGCAAGCCUGAUCCGGCCAUGCCGCGUGCAGGAUGAAGGCCUUCGGGUUGUAAAGCUCUUUCGGCAGGAACGAAACGGCGAGCUCUAACAUAGCUUGCUAAUGACGGUACCUGAAGAAGAAGCACCGGCUAACUACGUGCCAGCAGCCGCGGUAAUACGUAGGGUGCGAGCGUUAAUCGGAAUUACUGGGCGUAAAGCGUGCGCAGGCGGUUGUGUAAGACAGGUGUGAAAUCCCCGGGCUUAACCUGGGAACUGCGCUUGUGAAUGCACGGCUAGAGUAUGGCAGAGGGGGGGGAAUUCCACGUGUAGCAGUGAAAGGCGUAGAUAUGCGGAGGAACACCGAUGGCGAAGGCAAUCCCCUGGGCCUGUACUGACGCUCAUGCACGAAAGCGUGGGGAGCAAACA